UCCAUGAAGUUGGAUUCGCUAGUAAUCGCGCAUCAGCCAUGGCGCGGUGAAGUACGUUCCCGGGCCUUGUACACACCGCCCGUCAAGCCAUGGGAGCCGGGGGUGCCUGAAGUUCGUGACCGCAAGGAGCGACCUAGGGCAAAACUGGUGACUGGGGCUAAGUCGUAACAAGGUAGC
rnacentral:rRNA from 1 species